rnacentral:rRNA from 1 species
GAUGAACGCUGGCGGCGUGCCUAAUACAUGCAAGUCGAGCGAACGGACGAUAAGCUUGCUUCUCUGAUGUUAGCGGCGGACGGGUGAGUAACACGUGUAUAACCUACCUAUAAGACUGGGAUAACUUCGGGAAACCGGAGCUAAUACCGGAUAAUAUUUUGAACCGCAUGGUUCAAUAGUGAAAGACGGUCUUUCUGUCACUUAUAGAUGGAUCCGCGCUGCAUUAGCUAGUUGGUAAGGUUACGGCUUACCAAGGCAACGAUGCAUAGCCGACCUGAGAGGGUGAUCGGCGACACUGGAACUGAGACGCGGACAAGACUACUACGGGAGGCAGCAGUAGGGAAUCUUCCGCAAUAGGCGAAAGCCUGACGGAGCAACGCCGCGUGAGUGAUGAAGGUCUUCGGAUCGUAAAACUCUGUUAUUAGGGAAGAACAUAUGUGUAAGUAAAUGUGCACAUAUUGACGGUACCUAAUCAGAAAGCAACGGCUAACUACGUG